UACAGAGGUCUCAAGCGUUGUUCGGAUUCAUUGGGCGUAAAGAGCGUGUAGGCGGCCAGGUAGGUCGGUUGUGAAAACUGGAGGCUUAACCUUCAGACGUCGACCGAAACCAUCUGGCUAGAGUCCGGAAGAGGAGAGUGGAAUUCCUGGUGUAGCGGUGAAAUGCGCAGAUAUCAGGAAGAACACCCGUGGCGAAGGCGGCUCUCUGGGACGGUACUGACGCUGAGACGCGAAAGCGUGGGGAGCGAACAGG
rnacentral:rRNA from 1 species